AGAGUUUGAUCCUGGCUCAGGAUGAACGCUGGCGGCGUGCUUAACACAUGCAAGUCGAACGGAGUGCCUUUGAUUGAGGAUUCGUCCAAAUGAUAAGGUUACUUAGUGGCGGACGGGUGAGUAACGCGUGAGGAACCUGCCUCGGAGUGGGGAAUAACAACCCGAAAGGGUUGCUAAUACCGCAUGAUGCAGCUGGGUCGCAUGACUCUGGCUGCCAAAGAUUUAUCGCUCUGAGAUGGCCUCGCGUCUGAUUAGCUAGUUGGCGGGGUAACGGCCCACCAAGGCGACGAUCAGUAGCCGGACUGAGAGGUUGACCGGCCACAUUGGGACUGAGACACGGCCCAGACUCCUACGGGAGGCAGCAGUGGGGAAUAUUGGGCAAUGGGCGCAAGCCUGACCCAGCAACGCCGCGUGAAGGAAGAAGGCUUUCGGGUUGUAAACUUCUUUUCUCAGGGACGAAACAAAUGACGGUACCUGAGGAAUAAGCCACGGCUAACUACGUGCCAGCAGCCGCGGU
rnacentral:rRNA from 1 species